AGAAUUCUCUAGAGCUCUGGAACCAUCCUCGUCCCAGGACAGACAGCAAGGGCAUAUGCCGCUAACAAGCCUGGUUCCACAGCCCCUCACCAGGGUUCAGAGGGUCUCUGCAGUUUCUUACCUCUACUCUUGCUUCGUCUUCCCCAAGACAGGUCUUGAUAACAAACCCCUCCUUACAUAGUAAGAUUCUUGCUAUGUGGGAUUUUGGCUUUCCUGACCCAACAGUGCCUGUAAAGCCAUGGUACAGGAGAUCACUCUGAGGCGGGGGCAGCCACACUGAACUACUUGGGCAAGUUUCUUCACCUAUACGUGCCUCAGAUUCCCUAUCUGUAAAACGCAGCUCUGCCACUCCCUCUUUCCUGACACUCUUACCUACCUGCUACUCCUUAAACCCGGAUACACAGUUCGGACCGACCAACCAAAGCCAACACCUCAUGAAAGGGAAGAAACAGCACAUCACCCAUCAGAGAGGAGCUCACACGACUCUCACAGUCCCAGGACAACUGUUGGAGCUCCUGUUAGGCUUCCUCUUCAUGUGUGAAGAGGAGACCUCAGAGUUUCCUAGAGCAGCCUCUAAACAGACAAUAAAGACCAAUUGCUAAUCUGGAAAAUGUUAGGCAACCAUAUGUAGUAGGUAGGAAUGCCAGCUCACAAACUCAGGUGUGCAAAAGAAUACUGUAUCCUUUAUUUUAUAGAAAUCAG
rnacentral:lncRNA from 1 species